rnacentral:rRNA from 1 species
UUGAACGCUGGCGGCAGGCCUAACCCAUGCCAGUCGCACGGUAACAGGAAACAGCUUGCUGUUUCGCUGACGAGUGGCGGACGGGUGAGUAAUGUCUGGGAAACUGCCUGAUGGAGGGGGAUAACUACUGGAAACGGUAGCUAAUACCGCAUAACGUCGCAAGACCAAAGAGGGGGACCUUCGGGCCUCUUGCCAUCGGAUGUGCCCAGAUGGGAUUAGCUAGUAGGUGGGGUAACGGCUCACCUAGGCGACGAUCCCUAGCUGGUCUGAGAGGAUGACCAGCCACACUGGAACUGAGACACGGUCCAGACUCCUACGGGAGGCAGCAGUGGGGAAUAUUGCACAAUGGGCGCAAGCCUGAUGCAGCCAUGCCGCGUGUAUGAAGAAGGCCUUCGGGUUGUAAAGUACUUUCAGCGGGGAGGAAGGGAGUAAAGUUAAUACCUUUACUCAUUGACGUUACCCGCAGAAGAAGCACCGGCUAACUCCGUG